ACGACGCUGGCGGCGUGCCUAACACAUGCAAGUCGAACGGACUGAUCCCUUCGGGAUGAAAGUUAGUGGCGGACGGGUGAGUAACGCGUGAGCAACCUGCCUUUCAGAGGGGAAUAACGUUUGGAAACAGACGCUAAUACCGCAUAACGCAUAGGUGUCGCAUGGCAUUUAUGCCAAAGGAGCAAUCCGCUGAAAGAUGGGCUCGCGUCCGAUUAGAUAGUUGGUGGGGUAACGGCCUACCAAGUCGACGAUCGGUAGCCGGACUGAGAGGUUGAACGGCCACAUUGGGACUGAGACACGGCCCAGACUCCUACGGGAGGCAGCAGGUGGGGAUAUUGCACAAUGGGCGGAAGCCUGAUGCAGCAACGCCGCGUGAGGGAAGACGGUUUUCGGAUUGUAAACCUCUGUCUUUGGUGACGAAGAAAUGACGGUAGCCGAGGAGGAAGCCACGGCUAACUACGUGCCAGCCGCUGC
rnacentral:rRNA from 1 species